rnacentral:rRNA from 1 species
AAUAGAUACCCCGGUAGUCCACGCCCUAAACGAUGUCAACUAGCUGUUGGGGCCUUCGGGCCUUGGUAGCGCAGCUAACGCGUGAAGUUGACCGCCUGGGGAGUACGGUCGCAAGAUUAAAACUCAAAGGAAUUGACGGGGACCCGCACAAGCGGUGGAUGAUGUGGAUUAAUUCGAUGCAACGCGAAAAACCUUACCUACCCUUGACAUGUCUGGAAUGCCGAAGAGAUUUGGCAGUGCUCGCAAGAGAACCGGAACACAGGUGCUGCAUGGCUGUCGUCAGCUCGUGUCGUGAGAUGUUGGGUUAAGUCCCGCAACGAGCGCAACCCUUGUCAUUAGUUGCUACGAAAGGGCACUCUAAUGAGACUGCCGGUGACAAACCGGAGGAAGGUGGGGAUGACGUCAAGUCCUCAUGGCCCUUAUGGGUAGGGCUUCACACGUCAUACAAUGGUCGGGACAGAGGGUCGCCAACCCGCGAGGGGGAGCCAAUCCCAGAAACCCGAUCGUAGUCCGGAUCGCAGUCUGCAA